UACGGAGGAUCCAAGCGUUAUCCGGAUUCACUGGGUGUAAAGGGAGCGUAGACGGCCAAGCAAGCCAGGGGUGAAAGCCCGGGGCCCAACCCCGGGACUGCCCUUGGAACUGCAUGGCUGGAGUGCGGGAGGGGCAGGCGGAAUUCCUGGUGUAGCGGUGAAAUGCGUAGAUAUCAGGAGGAACACCGGCGGCGAAGGCGGCCUGCUGGAUCGCGACUGACGUUGAGGCUCGAAAGCGUGGGGAGCGAACAGG
rnacentral:rRNA from 1 species